UACAGAGGUCCCAAGCGUUGUUCGGAUUCAUUGGGCGUAAAGGGUGCGUAGGCGGCGCGGUAAGUCGGGUGUGAAAUCUCGGAGCUUAACUCCGAAACUGCAUUCGAUACUGCCGUGCUUGAGGACUGGAGAGGAGACUGGAAUUUACGGUGUAGCGGUGAAAUGCGUAGAGAUCAUGAGGAAGACCAGUGGCGAAGGCGGGUCUCUGGGCAGUAACUGGACGCUGAGGAGCGAAAGCCAGGGGAGCAAACGGG
rnacentral:rRNA from 1 species